CCUUUGACGUUAGCGGCGGACGGGUGAGUAACACGUGGGUAACCUACCUAUAAGACUGGGAUAACUUCGGGAAACCGGAGCUAAUACCGGAUAAUAUUUCGAACCGCAUGGUUCGAUAGUGAAAGAUGGUUUUGCUAUCACUUAUAGAUGGACCCGCGCCGUAUUAGCUAGUUGGUAAGGUAACGGCUUACCAAGGCGACGAUACGUAGCCGACCUGAGAGGGUGAUCGGCCACACUGGAACUGAGACACGGUCAAGACUCCUACGGGAGGCAGCAGUA
rnacentral:rRNA from 1 species